GAUGAACGCUGGCGGCGUGCCUAAUACAUGCAAGUCGAGCGAAAGGACGCGGAGUUUGCUUUUUUGAUGUUAGCCGCGGACGGGUGAGAAACACGUGUAUCCCCUACCUAUAAGACUGGGAUCACUUCGGGACACCGGCUAUAACACCGGAUAAUAUCUUGCACCGCAUGGUUCAAAAGUGAAAGACGGUCUUGCUGUCACUUAUAGAUGGUUAUGGGCUGGAUUAGCUAGUUGUUAAGUUCACGGCCUACCACGGCAACGAUGCAUAGCCGACCUGAGAGGGUGGUCGGCCACCCUGGAGCGGAGACACGGUCCAUACUCCUACGGGAGGGAGCAGUAGGGAAUCGGACGCAAUAGUCGGAAGCCUGACGGAGCAACGCCGCGUGUGUUAUGGAGGUCUUCGGAUCGUAAAACUCUGUUAUUAGUGAAGAACAUAUGUGUAAGUAGCUGUGCACAGCUUGACGGUACCUAAUCAGAAAGCCACGGCUAACUACGUG
rnacentral:rRNA from 1 species